CAAUAGCGUAUAUUAAAGUUGUUGCGGUUAAAAAGCUCGUAGUUGGAUUUCUGCUGAGGAUGACCGGUCCGCCCUCCGGGUGAGUAUCUGGCUCAGCCUUGGCAUCUUCCUGAAGAACGUAACUGCACUUGACUGUGUGGUGCGGUAUUUAGGACAUUUACUUUGAGGAAAUUAGAGUGUUUCAAGCAAGCGCACGCCUUGAAUACAUUAGCAUGGAAUAAUAAGAUAGGACCUCGGUUCUAUUUUGUUGGUUUCUAGAGCUGAGGUAAUGAUUGAUAGGGAUAGUUGGGGGCAUUCGUAUUUAACUGUCAGAGGUGAAAUUCUUGGAUUCGUUAAAGACGGACUACUGCGAAAGCAUUUGCCAAGGAUGUUUUCAUUGA
rnacentral:rRNA from 1 species